rnacentral:rRNA from 1 species
UUGAUCCUGGCUCAGAGUGAAUGCUAGCGGCGUGGUUAGACAUGCAAAGUCGAACGAUGAAGCCCAGCUUGCUGGGCGGAUUAGUGGCAUACGGGUGCGUAACACGUGAGCAACCUGCCUUGAAGUGGGGAAUAGCCCGGGGAAACCCGGAUUAAUACCGCAUGUGGUCUCUUUUCGCAUGAAAAGACGACUAAAGUUUGUAAUGACUCUUCAAGAGGGGCUCGCGGCCUAUCAGCUUGUUGGUGAGGUAAAAGCUCACCAAGGCAAAGACGGGUAGCUGGUCUGAGAGGAUGAUCAGCCACACUGGAGCUGAGAUACGGUCCAGACACCUACGGGUGGCAGCAGUUUCGAAUCAUUCACAAUGGGGGAAACCCUGAUGGUGCAACGCCGCGUGGAGGAUGACGGCCUUCGGGUUGUAAACUCCUGUCACCAAGGAACAAACGGCAGGUUCAUAGCCUGUCCUGAGUUAACUUGGAGAGGAAGAGGUGGCUAACUCCGUGCCAGCAGCCGCGGUAAUACGGAGACCUCGAGCGUUACUCGGAUUCACUGGGCGUAAAGAGUAUGUAGGCGGUUUGGUAUGUCAGGUGUGAAAGCCCGAAGCUCAACUUCGGAAUUGCGCCUGAAACUACCGGACUUGAGGCCUGGAGAGGGGAGUGGAAUUCCUGGUGUAGCGGUGAAAUGCGUAGAUAUCAGGAGGAACACCAAUGGCGAAGGCAGCUCCCUGGACAGGUUCUGACGCUGAGAUACGAAAGCGUGGGUAGCGAAAGGGAU